CCUACGGGGGGCUGCAGUGGGGAAUAUUGGACAAUGGGGGCAACCCUGAUCCAGCCAUGCCGCGUGUGUGAAGAAGGCCCUCGGGUUGUAAAGCACUUUCAGUGAGGAAGAACGCCUGGUGGUUAAUACCCAUCAGGAAAGACAUCACUCACAGAAGAAGCACCGGCUAACUCCGUGCCAGCAGCCGCGGUAAUACGGAGGGUGCGAGCGUUAAUCGGAAUUACUGGGCGUAAAGCGCGCGUAGGUGGCUUGAUAAGCCGGUUGUGAAAGCCCCGGGCUCAACCUGGGAACGGCAUCCGGAACUGUCAAGCUAGAGUGCAGGAGAGGAAGGUAGAAUUCCCGGUGUAGCGGUGAAAUGCGUAGAGAUCGGGAGGAAUACCAGUGGCGAAGGCCGCCUUCUGGACUGACACUGACACUGAGGUGCGAAAGCGUGGGUAGCAAACAGGAUUAGAUACCCUUGUAGUC
rnacentral:rRNA from 1 species